rnacentral:rRNA from 1 species
AUUGAACGCUGGCGGCAGGCCUAACACAUGCAAGUCGAGCGGAUGAAGGGAGCUUGCUCCUGGAUUCAGCGGCGGACGGGUGAGUAAUGCCUAGGAAUCUGCCUGGUAGUGGGGGAUAACGUCCGGAAACGGGCGCUAAUACCGCAUACGUCCUGAGGGAGAAAGUGGGGGAUCUUCGGACCUCACGCUAUCAGAUGAGCCUAGGUCGGAUUAGCUAGUUGGUGGGGUAAAGGCCUACCAAGGCGACGAUCCGUAACUGGUCUGAGAGGAUGAUCAGUCACACUGGAACUGAGACACGGUCCAGACUCCUACGGGAGGCAGCAGUGGGGAAUAUUGGACAAUGGGCGAAAGCCUGAUCCAGCCAUGCCGCGUGUGUGAAGAAGGUCUUCGGAUUGUAAAGCACUUUAAGUUGGGAGGAAGGGAAGUAAGUUCAUACCUUGCUGUUUUGACGUUACCAAAAGAAUAAGCACCGGCUAACUUCGUG